GCCUGAUUGGCUCGGUCAGUUAAGCUUCUGACUUCGGCUCAGGUCAUGAUCUUGUGGUUUGUGGGUUCAAGCCCCAUAUCAGGCU
rnacentral:tRNA from 1 species